AGGUUCUGUGCAGUACUGAAGAGCAACUUCAGCUCUUGAGUUACAGCUCAAUGCAACCUCCUGGCAGGCCAGCCUUAAGCCCAGCAGUCCAACCAUGCAUCUAAGCUGAGUUCUCAUCAGAGCCAACUUCAAUUAUAAACAACUGAGAUGAUGCCAGAGGCCAGAAUCCCUGAGAACCCAAUUUGCUGUCAUCACGAUGGCUGAAACAAGGUGACCUUCAUAAUGCAGGCAAUAGAGAAUUGCAAGAUUUGUCAGAGAUUUCAGGUCUUUGGAAAGCUAUGCUCUUUCACAAGAACAACCAUGGAAACAGGAAGAAAGUCAAUUCCCACUUAAGCUUGUAUCAACUCUAGAAUUUAUUGGGCACCUCCUAGGACAUAAACACUGGAAUUUGGUGAGAGACGUCAAAUAGGAAAGAACCUGGCUCUGACAUAAAUUCAACACACGGAGGGGGACACAUGUUAUGAGACUGAUCUGGCCUCUUCAUCUCAUAAAAGGGGUUCUUGUUGCUGGUAACACAGAUUAAAACUAUUUCAAUUACAUUCAAGAUAAAAAGAUGAGCAAUGGUAUGUAAGAUGAAAAAAUCACCCCGCAGGAAGACAAAAGUCUCACAAAAGGAUAUUUAAGCUAGCCAACACUUUGAAAUUCAGGCAGAGAUCGUGCUUUCUGGGUGAACUAAAGUAGCAAGAACAAAGUAGAGGCUCCAAUUCUAGGAAAAAUGGGCCCUAAUAAGGUUUACAAUCCAGAAACUCAAGAUAUCCAGACAGAAGGAUGCAGUCUCCGCUUUCAAGGCAGCAGCAGUACCUGGAUUACUAAGCCAAUCCCCAACACAAUCAUAAACACAAAUUUGAUUGAGGAAGAAGCUUGCCCACCAGAAGAUUUAGGUUAUUACAAGGUAGAAUGUGAUAGAGAAAAUGAGCAUGGGACUGGAAACAAAAGGAGGUAACCCCAUGAUUACAACUGGAAUAUAUCUGUCAGCGAUGGUGCGGAAAUAAGACUGAAGAGAGAGAUCCUUAAACCCCACGUGCCUUACAUCAGUACUAAUCCUGGACACAGGCUGGAAAGCAUAGUCUACAGGUGGUGAGGGAGGAGGAGUGGGCUCAGCUGUGAGAAGGAGAAGGAAAUAUGGCUGAAAACCAGAUAGGGGUCUUGAAAUCACACAGAGGAUUUGGGCCUUUGCUGCUGUCUGCCAGCAGCUGCCAGUAGUUCUCACACUUUGGCUGGCAACAAAAUCACCUGGGGCAGUGGUGCGGAAGCGGGGGGAGUGUUGUAAAACCACAAGUGACCAGGCAAAAAACACCUGUAUGUUUUCCAAUUCAGUAAGUACAGAAAUAUUAAUUGGAAAAAGGUGGAAGUCAACAUUGAUAGUGCUGUGGACUGCUCCAGGGACAUAAGCAUGAUCUUUAGAGAGGCGACUCUAAUCAGUUGAGGGCAACCACUGGACAGAAAGAGGUCCAGACCAACCGUACACAGAGACAUCACACAACUACACUUUAGCAACCUCUCCAAGUAACAUGUCUCUUAGUGAAACUUGGGAGGGUGAAAGUUAAAAACAUAAAAUCCAGUGGCAUUUAUGUAUCCUAGGCACUUACAUUUGUCUGAUUCUUCCAACUUGCCUUUGCUUGGUUAGAGUUUUGGGUAGAUAAGAGGUGGAUUUACAUGUGCUAGUGUGAGAACUUUGAUACACUCAUUUAGACAUUGACCUACUAUCUUGAUGUUUGAAAGCUAAAACCCAAAGAAAUUUGUCUUUUUACGUAAAACAAAUUCAGUCCUUGCCUUCCUUGUAGAUUACAUCUUCCACUAGCAGUAAUAAAAAAGUAACAAUAUGCAU